AGUUCGAUCAUGGCUCAGAUUGAACGCUGGCGGGAUGCUUUACAUACAGUCGAACGGCAGCACGGACUUCAGGGUCUGGUGGCGAGUGGCAGACAGGGUGAGUAAUGUAUCCGGAACGUGCCCUGAAAUGGCGGGGGAUAACUACGCGAAAGCGUAGCUAAUACCGCAUACGCCCUUCGGGGGAAAGCGGGGACCUUCGGGCCUCGCACUAUUAGGAAAGCGGCCGAUAUCGGAUUAGCUAGUUGGUGGGGUAACGGCUCACCAAGGCGACGAUCCGUAGCUGGUUUGAGAGGACGACCAGCCACAGGACUGAGACGGCUGAACUCCUACGGGGAGGCAGCAGUGGGAAUUUUGGACAAUGGGAAACCCUGAUCCAGCCAUCCCGCGUGUGCGAUGAAGGCCUUCGGGUUGUAAAGCACUUUUGGCAGAAGAAACGGCCUGGGAUAAUGCCCGUGCAACUGACAGUACCUGCAGAAUAAGCACACCGGCUAACUACGUGCCAGCCGCGGUAAUACGUAGGGUGCAGGCGUUAAUCGGAAUUGCAGGGCGUAAAGCGUGCGCAGGCGGUUCGGAAAAGAAAGAUGUGAAAUCCCAGAGCUUAACUUUGGAACUGCAUUUUUAACUACCGAGCUAGAGUGUGUCAGAGGAGGUGGAAUUCCGCGAUGUAGCGAUGCAGUAAGUGUGCGGGAGGGCACCGAUGGCGAAGGCAGCCUCCUGGGAUAACGCUGACUCAUUGCACGCGUGGGAGCAAGCAGGAUUAGAUACCCUGGUAGUCCACGCCCUAAACGAUGUCAACUAGCUGUUAGGGCCUUCGGGCUUGCUUGAAGUAUGCAGCAACGCGUGAGAUUGACCGCCACAAGGGAGUACGGUCGCAAGAUUAAAACUCAAAAUUGACGAGGACCCGCACAAGCGGUGGAUGAUGUGGUUAAUUCGAUGCAACGCGAAAAACCUUACCUACCCUUGACAUGUCAUAGGUCGAAGAGAUUUGGGAGUGCUCGCAAAGAGAACCCGGAGCACAAGGUGCUGCAUGGCUGUCGUCGACUCGUGUCGUGAGAUGUUGGAUUAAGUCCCGCAGCGAGCGCAACACGCCUUGUCAUUAGUUGCUACGAAAGGGCACUCUAAUGAGACUGCCGGUGACAAACCGGAGGAAGGUGGGGACAGCGCGUCAGUCCUCAUGGCCCGCAUGGGUAGGGCUUCACACGUCAUACAAUGGUCAGGACAGAGGGUCGCCAACCCGCGAGGAGUAAUCCCAGAAACCCGAUCGUAGUCCGGAUCGCAGUCUGCAACUCGACUGCGUGGAAGUCGGAAUCGCUAGUAAUCGCGAAUCCACAGCAUGUCGCGGUGAAUACGUUCCCGGGUCUUGUUCCGCCCGUCACACCAUGGGAGUGGGUUUACCAGAAGUAGUUAGCCUAACCGUAAGGGCGAUUACAGUAGGAUUCAUGACUGGGGUGAAGUCGUAACAAGGUAA
rnacentral:rRNA from 1 species